UACGGAGGGUGCAAGCGUUAUCCGGAUUUAUUGGGUUUAAAGGGAGCGUAGGCGGGAUAGUAAGUCAGUGGUGAAAUCUUCCGGCUCAACCGGGAAACUGCCAUUGAUACUGCUAACCUAGAGUACAUUUGAAGUGGGCGGAAUGUGUCAUGUAGCGGUGAAAUGCUUAGAUAUGACACAGAACACCAAUUGCGUAGGCAGCUCACUAAACUGUAACUGACGCUGAGGCUCGAAAGCGUGGGGAUCAAAC
rnacentral:rRNA from 1 species